GCGCCUUCGGUGUUGUUGAGCGCGCCGCGAUAGGCCUUGCCGAUCGGUGUGCGGGCGGUGGAAACGAUAACGGCUUCGGUCAUGAACGACCUCCUGUUGCAAGUUUUGGUUGUUGAGAUUGGUUGCGUUGCUGNNNNNNCGAGAGAGUUUUCCGACGCUGGUGCGCGGCAGUUCCUUCAUGAACUCGACCGCGACCGGUA
rnacentral:misc_RNA from 1 species